GACAGAGGUGGCAAGCGUUGUUCGGAUUCAUUGGGUGUAAAGGGUCCGUAGGUGGUCUAGUAAGUCUGGUGUGAAAUCCCAUGGCUCAACCGUGGAACUGCAUUGGAAACUGCUGGACUUGAGUACCGCAGAGGUAAAGGGACUUCCCGGUGUAAGGGUGAAAUCUGUAGAUAUCGGGAGGAACACCAGUGGCGAAGGCGCUUUACUGGGCGGUUACUGACACUGAGGGACGAAAGCAAGGGGAGCAAACAGG
rnacentral:rRNA from 1 species